GUCAGGGUGGUGUAGUGGUUUGAAUGUUGGACUACAAUUCUGGAGAUCAGGGUUCGAAUUCCCACUCAGCCA